GCAAGAUUAUUCCGGUCGGUAAUCACCGGUAGAGGCCCCAUCCUUAAUCCGACUGCGGCACACCAUGAGACAUCCAGAGUUUAACCCACUCCUCCAUCGCAUCUGCAGCUUGCACAAACACCGGAUCCACCGUCCCCAGCUGCUCCCUAACCAUCCCGGCCAUCUCCAACACACAGUCCUCCGCCUUCACUGCAGUCCUGGGCAGCCUCACCGACUGAAAGAACGGCACCA
rnacentral:misc_RNA from 1 species